AAUAGAUACCCAGGUAGUCCACGCCGUAAACGAUGAGUGCUAAGUGUUAGAGGGUUUCCGCCCUUUAGUGCGUGCAGCUAACGUAUUAAGCACUCCGCCUGGGGAGUACGGCCGCAAGGCUGAAACUCAAAGGAAUUGACGGGGGGCCCGCACAAGCGGUGGAGCAUGUGGUUUAAUUCGAAGCAACGCGAAGAACCUUACCAGGUCUUGACAUCCUCUGACAACCCUAGAGAUAGGGCUUUCCCCUUCGGGGGACAGAGUGACAGGUGGUGCAUGGUUGUCGUCAGCUCGUGUCGUGAGAUGUUGGGUUAAGUCCCGCAACGAGCGCAACCCUUGAUCUUAGUUGCCAGCAUUCAGUUGGGGCACUCUAAGGUGACUGCCGGUGACAAACCGGAGGAAGGUGGGGAUGACGUCAAAUCAUCAUGCCCCUUAUGACCUGGGCUACACACGUGCUACAAUGGAUGGUACAAAGGGCUGCAAACCUGCGAAGGUAAGCGAAUCCCAUAAAGCCAUUCUCAGUUCGGAUUGCAGG
rnacentral:rRNA from 1 species